GGCUUGUAAAUAAUACAGCACUCAUAAAUUAAGUAAAUAAGUUCAAGCAUUUUUCCAGUUCAUGUCUCUUAAGUACAUUUUUGUUAAAUAAGCUGGCUUUAAAGUUAUUGGUAAGAUAAAAAUAAAAAUGUCUUCAGAAUUGUCAGCAUACAUUUUUGUCCAGAUUUUAUAUUUGUCUCUCCUAGAUAUUUUAAGGUGCCACUGUUUUUAUAAAAUUAUAAACACAAACAAAAACAGAAUUAUCUUUGUAUGGUUUUUUGACAAGUAAGACUAAUUUAAUAUUAUUGGUUCAAUGAAAACAACAGCUGAAUCUUCUGAGUUAUCAGAAAAAUACCCAUGUGUUAACGUUCUUACACCUGAAUAUCAGGUGUGAACACCUGAUAUUCACAGACUAUAAAAAUGAUUAAUGAGGAGAUAACUUGAAAUGAUGAGUAGUUUUGUCUAAUAUCUAAUUUUCAGAAGUAAUUCAUAUGAACUGUUGAAGAUGAAAGAACUGAAUACAUGUAAAUGGGAUAAAUGCUUAUAGGUAAACUUUUUGUGGAAUUUAAAAUCUUAAAGUUAUUUUGAUUGAAUAAUAGAUGUUUGUUGGAUGUCUGGGUCAUUUCUAAAUAAGAAAGGGUUAUAAUAUGGGAAAACAUUUAUAAAAAUUGUGGAGUGAUUUUAUUUAUAAAAUGCUAGUAAACCUGAUAGUUCAGGAUUUCUUGGUUCCUGCAGUUUCACUAAAAUUUAAGUUACUAAAAUUUAAGUUUACUAAAAAUAAGAAUUCUACAUAUAAAGUGUGUCAAAUCAGAAAGUGCAAGCAUGUCAUAGAUGAUCUGUGUAAAUCAUGAUAUGGUUCACGAAAAGAGAAUUUAUGAAAGGAAUUUCAUAUGUGAUUAAAUUGGCUAUAAUUAAAGGGGAAUUAUUUAAAAUAGUUUUCUAAAGAUUGGUUCUCUAUGUUAAAACAUUAUUUUCUUAAAAUAUUGAUUUGAUGUAAAUAAAAGAGACUUCUAUUUUGAUUCUAUAAUCUUUCUUUUUGAAAACUUCUCAUAUUUGUAUCUCAGAAGUGCAACUUGAUUGUGUCUUGCUGCUUUCAGCUUUUUUUGCUCCUCUUGAAAAGGCCUGAAGUAACCCUCUCCUCCAACUUUUUCAUCAGCUCUUGUAUUUUUUUCCUCAAGUUCUAACUGCUAUUGUGGCCUGAUGUUAAAAUGUUUAUCUGAAAAGUCUAUAAAAGCAGUGUUUUCCUCUAGCAUAACUUGAUUUCCCUGCUUAAGGUGCUAUUUUUCUAGUUUCUUGUUUCCUCUAUAAUAUUGAUAUUAUGUUCACUCAUGGCCCUGAACACAUUCUUCCUGUGUUUCAUUAAUUCAAGUACCCUUUCAUCAGAUUUGACUUCCAGGUUAUCCAAAUGGACUUCCCAUGAGGAGAUGCAAUCACACUGUAGCAGGUCCUUCUUUCCCUUCUGGCUGCUGGCCUAACCAACAGAUAUUACAUUUUAUGGAGAGAAUGUCUAUGUCAUUGUUAUUAGGUUUUUGAAUGCUUAGGAAAACUGAGAUUUAACAGAAUUAAGGUUUUUUUACAUUCAUGUAACUUUCUUUAUUGCUUUUAAAGUCCUUGUGCUGUUAUUAAUAUGUUAUAGAGCUUUGAAUCCUGGGUCUGAAAAGGGCACCGACACCUGCUAAACCUUGAAAUUGACAUCAGUUAAAGCCUUGUCUUCAAAUAUGGAGAAAGGGAACAUCAAAAUGAACUGCUUUCAUGAAACACAGGGCCAUAAAUUAAAACAAUCCAAUCCCUGUAGACCCAGGGACUAUCAUAGAAGAGGUUUCUGACAACUUCUGAAGAUUGCGCCAUUGGACUAGAGAGAAAACUUCCAGGACUCUCAUUGAAGAGUUCCUCACAGGGUUCCUGACCUGUGGUAUGUAAAGGAUGUCACUUUCUGACAGGCCCAGGAAUCUCAAGUUACUUUGGGACUUAGAGAAGAAAGAAAUUCAUAUAGGCACCCAUUUCCUACAAAUGUGUCCCUCCACUCUUUGAAGCCGAGGGCAAAAUCAUGCUGAAGACCUAGAAAUCCCACCAGCCUGAAGACCAGCUGCAACCACAAUGGGUUAGCCCUUUUGAUGUGCUGCUGACCAUUCAUACUAAUCUGUCAAGUUAGCUGGUGUUAAGCCAUGGAUUCUUCAUACUUAGAGAAAACCAGUCCCUUUGGGAUCCCUCCAAGGAAAACAGUGAUUUUCUUGUGAACCCUCGGACAGGCUUAAGUUAACAUUCAAAGUCCAGUCAAGACCCUAGAUAAGACUUCAGAAAGGGAACAUGCACUUUUCAGGUUAUUCUUCUCUCCCAAACCCUGGUUCUUUGCAUGCAAGAUAUAAUGAAUUAGGAAGACUUUUUCAUAGGCUUAGGAUUGUUCUCUUGGAUUCCCCAGGAGAUCUGUUCCAUAUUCUCUGGUAUUUUAAAAUUUGGUUUAUCUAUCUUAUUAAUCAUCCAAUCUCAAUGUGGCUUAAAAUGUUCUUCUGAAACCAAAUAAAUGUACAAAGAUCAUGGUGCUCCAACAAGCUGGAUGGCAGCCAGGUACUCAUGAGUAUUGCCAAUUAUAGGUGUGAAAUUUUCAUUUCUCAUCAUUAUUCCAGGAUGCCUUCUCUUCAGCAUAAAGCAGCCAGAAAGAUUGAUGACCAGCUUCCCCAGGAUUGAGGAACUGAUAAGUGGAAAGAGGGGACUGAAACCACCCCAAUUGUCCCGUAGAAUUGAUGUUUAUGAUCUUUUGGAAUAAACAUAGAUAUUGACCCUCGUGGUCUUAAAGCUUGAAAUGUACAUUGCCUGAGUUCCUUCCUCAGAAAACAAAAACUCAGGGCUCUGAGUAUCAAGGAACUGAAACUCACCAGGUCACCACAUCCAGACAAUGAGACAACAGACCCCUUAUUCAUCAUGAUUACUUCCUUCCCCCUCCGUUAUUCCUGUUUUCCCACAUGUAGCUCCAUUCCUUCCCUUUUAUAUAAACUCCCAAUUUUAAUUGGUUGGAGAGGACUUGAGACUUAUCUCUCAUCUCCUCAGCUGAUAUCACCUGAUUAAAGCCUUUCUUUCUUGGCAAUACUCAUUGUCUCAGUGACUGGCUUUCUGUACAGCAAGGAACAGGAUCUAGACCAAACCCCCUGGCAUUUUGGUAACAAGGGGAAUAAGAAACCUAGCCUUACUGACAGUUUAUUUCUUAAGUUGACUUUAUUAAAAGGUCAAGGAAAGAAAACUAGCCCAAAGAAUAAAUGAACAUACCCACUUUAUCACUUUGGAAGGUUUAACAAAUUCCUAAUGAAGAAUAAUUUAUGUUUUUGCUCAGGCAUGGUGGCUUAUGUCUGUAAUCCCAGCAUUUUGGGGGGCUGAAGAAGGAGGAUUACCUGAGGCCAGAAGUUUGAGAGCAGUCUGAGCAACACAGUGAGACCACAUCUCUGCAAAAAAUAAAAAAGUUAAUUAGGCAUGGUGGCAUGCGCCUGUGGUCCCAGCUACUCAGGAGGCCGAGGUAGGAGGAUCACUUGAGCCUGGGAGGUCAAGGCUGCAGUGAGCUGUGUUUGCACCACCAUACUCCAGCUUGGGUAAUAAAGCAAGACCCUGUCAACAAAAAAAAAGUUAGAUUUUUUGUUUGUUUGUUUGAAAAGUGUUAACCUAGGCACAAUCUACAAACUGGCCAAUUUUUGACUUUUGUAACUGUUGUAUAUACAUCUAUAAAUAUAUUCUAAGUAGUUUUCUUAUACAGAACAGCAUAGAAAAAACACAUUAAAAGUCCUCAGAAUUAUGAGUAAUUUGUAUAAAAAUUUGUAAUGACAUUUCAAGGUAAUUGUUUCUAUUGGGAUUGUAAUAACAUCUGAUUGCAGCUUCCUUGAAGAUUUCUAAAUAUAUGCAGUGCUAUGAUCCUUUGCUGGGUAAGCAUUGCAGUUUCGUUGCUGCUUAGCUAGUAUGAAAUGUUGGAUUGUAAAAUGUCAAUCGUGUAAUAUACUUGCUUAUAAAUAGUUACACUCUCAGAUGUUGCAGUUUGUUUAGUCCACUAAAGACAGACUAUAUGCCAUUAUUGAAAGAAAUCUUAGGAAACCUGGCUCCAGAAGAUAUUCAAACAUAGACAUGCAUUAUUAUCUGCCAAAUACUACUAGAUCUUGUGGAAAUCUUGGUGUGUUAAAUUUUGUUACAAAAGAUAUACAAGGACAUAAAAGGCUAAAGUUACAGAACUGAAAGAUUGGAUCAGUGUCUUAGAAGCAGGGUUAUUGUAACUUUUGUUUUUUGAAGGAUAACUUGCAGACCAUGCUGAGUGAAGUACUUAAGAAACUUUAGUGAAAUGGAAACUGAAAGAAAGUGACAGAAAAACAUAGGCACCAUUUAAAGUCCUUAAAAAAACUCAAUAGAAAUUUUGCAAAAAUACAACCACAGCAAACCAAUGAAUAAACAUGUAUUUAAUGAUUGCCAACCUAUGAAAAUAUUUUAUAGACUCUAUCUCCAAGCAAGAGCCACACAGAACAGAAUUAAAGUUUCUGCAUCUGAAAGGCUGAUAAAAAGUUAAAAACACUACAUUUGUCUUCAAAAGUAAAUUUGAAUAGUGGUGGUAUUUAGGAGAACAGCCAUUAAAAUCACACCAUAAAAUGUUAAAUGAUAUUGAAAAUUCAUUUUAAUGCAUAGUUGUAAGAUAACUUCCAAGUAUAUGCUUCCAUAAUAUGCACUUUCAACCAAGGCUGUAAAGUAAUCUGAAUGUUACAAAUGUAUUUGGUGCCCCAAGAUUCAAUUUAUAUUAGUCCAUUCUUGCACUGCUGUAAAGAAAUACUGUCAUAUUUUACCAAAAUAUUCAGGUAAUCUUGAAUGUAUUGCCAGCAUACCAUUUUAUAUUUUGAAGAUGAUUGGUAAACUCUGAGUAUCUUAUAGAUUUUAAUAUGUCAACAAGACUAUUUAAUGGGAAAAAUAAAAGCCUCCAAUGAUUUACAA